UAUAAUGAAAAAAGAGAACUGACUGUCUGGGACAACCAGGGUCAUGUGCUUAAUUCACAAAUUUUGUUUCAAAUAUCAAGCUACGUUAACUGUACUUGUUCAGCUCCCAUAUCUGGGUAUUAAUAUACAGUGACUAUAAUGUAGUUUAAUCUGUCAGAUAUCAGAUAAUAAUAUGAUCUUUUUCUUUUUACUUUUAACUGCAACUUUUUCUUUUAUCCUCUUAAAACAGAUGACAGACUCUUCUACAUCAGCCCCAGUAGGCAGUACAUUCGGCUAGUUGUCCUGUCAGAGGAAGAGAAGAGGUCUGUUCUUACGGAGUGCCACAAUAACCCUGGGACUGGCAAUCAAAGUGGCAUCAGAGGCACUCAAAACAGGGUUAUUGCUGGAUACUAUUGGCCUACAAUUAUCCAGGAGGUGAAAGAAUGGGUCAGAUCUUGUCACCGCUGCCAGUUGAAUGACCCCAUCAAGACUGUUGUGCCAGUCUUGCAUUCCAUUAAGGUAAAAGAAUCUUGGGAGGUGCUUGGUUUGGAUUUGAUUUGACCACUGCCAGAAACAGCACGCAACAUCAAGUAUGUACUUACCAUGACAGACCUGUACACCAAGUGGGUGAUUGCAGAACCCAUUCAAUCUAAGACAGCAGCUUAUAUGUCUGCAAUAAUAACCACAAAGUUGUACUUUUUCGGCAUGGAUAGGAAAAUCAUUACAGACCAAGGGAAGGAGUUUGUCAACAAGCUCAACAACAGCAUUUUCAGUACGCUGAAAAUCAAACAUGCUGUCUCCAGUGCUUACCAUCCCCAGACCAAUGGACAGGAUAAAAGAACCGAUCAGAAUAACAAGCGUACUCUCAGGAAGUAUGUGAAUGACAACCAUAAUGACUGGGAUCUCCACCUUCCUGCUGUGGUGUAUGGAAUCAACACUGCAAAGCAAGUUGUGUCUUAACAUGCUUACUUAUUUAUAUUUAUAAUGUCUAUGGUUAGUUGUCAAUGGUAAAACUGAAUUGAUGAAUUUAUUUAAUAUUUAAUGUCAAGGGUGGAGUUUUUCCCUUUAAUACAAAUGUAAUAGUUAAUGGGAAGCUUCCUAUGUGAUCAGUACUCGACUAGACACUGUCCCUACUUUGACACCCACGUCUGCCAGAGGUCAUGAAUGCCUGUCCCAUGGGAGAUAAUUUUGAAGUUGCUGACCUGGAAGAUGAUAUCGACACCAGAGUCAAUAAGAUGAAACUCCUUAAUGAAAUGGUUUGUAUUUGAAUAAUAAAGGUAAAUUAAUUAGUGACUAAUAUCGGAAUUAGACCUAGGCAUAGGCUGAUCUAUGUAUUUUCUUUGCUAUGAUUCUGCUUCUCUGAGCUCUUGUUAUGUCACUGUUACACUGUAUAUUUAGAGUAAUGUAUGUAAUGUAAUGUUUCUGGGACUGUGUUUGUGUGUGUUCAGAGUGUCACUAUCACUUUAGCAUUUUCUGCCUCAGUAGAUAGCAUCACCAGGCAAAGAAUUGACGACGGAGGUGACUCGGUGUGACCUACAUAAACUGGGGCGGGUAACUACCACCCUCUCCUGUCAGAGAUAGGAUACUUAAAAACCUAUGCUUGGCCUCUCUAGUUAGACAAGCAAUUGAAUUUUCAUGUGAAGCCAUACUCCCUCUCUCUUUGUUACAUAGUAAUGAAUAAAUCUUUUUCCUUAUUGUUCUACCUUGGCCUGACUGAGACUCCAUUGAUCUGUUGGUUUCAAAAAUAAAUCCCAUCAAGAGAAGAGACCAGAGAAUUCUGUAUUUGUUUUCAAUGAGUUUUCAUUUUUGGGUACUGUUCUUUUUUUUGUAGGUUCUUCGCAACAUAGAGAGAGCACAGAGCAUGCAACAAAAUCAUUCCAAAAUCGCAAGCGCAAGUAUGUCCGAGUAUAUUCAGUUCAGGCCGGUGAUGAUGUUCUGCUCUCACGGGACCCCAAGAAAUGAUGGACAGGAGACACAUUUAUAAGUCAGCACCAAGGACCAUAUACUGUGGCCAGCAUCUCUUCCAAAGGGGUAGCCACUAUUGUGAAAGGUUCAACUUGCCAGAGGGUCAGUGUGUCAAGACUGAGGACAUACUACAGAUUGAAAUAUGGACCAGCUGAGAGGAUGAUUCUCCAGGACCACUGUUACUCAACAUUGAAAUGGCAGAUAGAGCAUCCAUAUGCUUGUUCAGGUGCAAAGUGGGAGAAGGACUUGGGCCCUAUUCUAGAUGAACUGUUAAAGCAUGUGUUGGACAAAAAUCAGCCAUCAGGAGAACUGAUCGUAAAACAAGGCAAAUUAUGCCUCGCACGAGAAGACUUCUGGAGCCUGGGUUUAAGCCAGUGCAUGGAAUCUAAUAUCGGAAAUGCUUACCUCAAGAUUGUGGAAGAAGCUGCGCGAAGACAUGGAAAACAUUUUCAUAUUGUGGACCUCUAUGUUGUUGCCACCUGGAAGGACAACAAUGUGGACCCAGUGCAUUGUUCGCCUACACAUUGCAACCUUCAUUGACCCAGGAUCCUGGACUGAAAAAACAGGAAGAGACUUUGGGUGUACAGGGAAUAUCUGUGGUGUCUACAUGCUGAUGGAGGAGGUGCCAUUGAUUCUCCAGUUGUGGUGCAUUCAGCCGACGGAGAGGUUUUGCCUAGAAGGUUAUGACAGACUCUACAGAUAAAAUUUCAGUAUCUUGGCUGUAUUAAGUCACUGUUUGGCAAAGUGAUACUAGAAAGGUGUUAUACAAAUAGAGUGCAUAUACAUUUACAUAUUUUCCAAAGACAUGGACAGAGAUUUGCAUACUGGACAGAAGAAGCAUCCCAACUCCUUCAGGGAACCCUUGAGCCUGUCUUUAGGGUGUCAAAAUCCACCACUACAAAACUGUCGCCCAGCAGAAGAGUUGUGGUUGAAGAGGACACUGAUAAGGUGCAACAGCCAACCAUUGUGAGAGACCUUCAUACAGCGAGGUACUGGGUACACAGUCGCAGAGACUUAUUCCAUGGGGAUGUGAGAGAGCCUGCUUUUCUGCAGAUGAACAGUGAUGAACAACAAAAUGCCCCCAGGAAGGUCCUGGGGGGUGAAUUCUCUAAUGCAAAGGAUGACUUUUUGUUUAUAUUUCAGUGUCAAGAGGACAUGGAAACAUUUUUGUCAUACUGUGAUGAACUUGAUGAAAAAGGCCUGAAGGUCAAUGCCAUGUUCCUCAAUUGCAGUAGAUGAUUGAGUGAGUGAGUGAGUGAGUGAGUGAGUGAUUGAGUGAGUGAGUACACACUUAUAUACACAUCUGUAUUUCCCAAAUGGGGUCUAACAAAGGUAAACUAUUUAGUUUAAUUUUAUUUAAUUUUUCUAUUUCUUUUUAAUUUGUGCCACAUAUUAACCUUGAAAUAUUUAACCAGAAAAGUGUAUUUAUAUCAAGAGAAUCACUAGUAAAGAACUAUUUCCAGUAUUGAUCGGGUAGUGUCAAACAACAACUGUCAACAAUUGCCGUAAAUUGUUUCGACAUACUUCAGACAGGAACUAGACACAUUUUCACACAUGCGCAGUACAAAUCGUGUUUCCGGUACGGAUUGAGUAGUGACAAGUCUCGUUCAGCAAAAUGAAUGAAUCUGUAUUCAAGUCAUUUCGUUCAUUUGAGCAGAAUUAAAUUAAAAUGUUAAAUUUUCAAUAGCCAAAUCCCCCCAACACGUCUACUUAUGCAAACUUUGAUUAUAGUUCCAAUAAGGAAAAAAUGAUAAUGCAGCCAAGGACAAAUUAUGAGAAACAGAAUGAUUAGUUCACCUCCUGAGUCAUCUGAUCCGAGUCGUUCGUUCUUUUGUCACAUACGGCUGUCACGACAAAAGAGCGAACAACUUGGACAAGAAUUUCUGUUUCCUAUGUGAGCAAUGCAUAGCCUAACGGCUGUCACGUGACAAAAGAAUGAACGACUCGGACCAAAAUUGAAAGGUGAACUAAUAAUUUCUGUUUCCUGUACAGCGCCUAUACGGUUUUCACAUAACAAACGUGCGGCCAACACAAAAUGAAUUAAUCACUCUCUGAGAUUACUCGUUCUUCUGAGUCACAUAAAAGAUUCGUUCAAAAUGAACGGAUCAUUCAUGAACGAUCACUAGAGUUGAGACGAAUUGACAACUUUUCUCUCGUCUCCUUAUUUUCUCCUGUUUUAACAGGGAUGCCUCACAAAUAAUGUACAAAACAUAUAAAAUAUGUAUGGAUCGAGUGUUUAAAUGACAAAUGUUUUAUUUGUCAUCCAGAGUGGUAAUUUGCUGAGUUUGAUGUAAAAAUGCUGAUUCCUUUUGCUCCAGUAUGUUUAAAGUUAGCUGUUGAAGGCUCCAGUUGUUUGUGAUGCUUGGUUCACCUGCUCAAUUUUUAGUUCAAAACAGUUUUACAAGUUGUAUUACUCUUACUUAAUGUUCUUAGAUUGGUGCGCUCCUCUGAUCAUGUGACGUAUUGCACACGAUAGUGAAUGUCUAUUACAGAGACAUGCAUGCUGUGAAAUGCACUUAAACUGAAACAAAUGACACUUUAAAAGGUGAAAUCAAUUAAUAUUCAUAGAGAAUGUCUCAGAUAUAUGUGAAUACAUACAGAUAUUUAAUAUUCUCUACUGCUGUCAUGUUAAAUUAAGUAUUGUCAAUGUGGUCUAAAUUGAACUAUUGUACAAAUGGGAUUGAAUUCAUGUUGAAGAAAAAGGAUAAUAGUGAUGAUGUGUAAUGCUGAUUUUAUGUAGAUUGUGUUAUGUACAAAGAAUUUAAGAAUGUGCAAAAGGGAAAAAAAGAUGACACAAGAACAUUGAAAAAUAUAAUGUUAUUGUUUUUAAAGCAAACUGACAUUAAGAAAUGUUGAAUAAAAAAAAUGACUGAGGAGUU